ACCACCUUCCUUGCAUAUUCACUUAACCUUGUACAAGAACACCUUUUUGCCCUAAAUGAAGACACCCCCCCAAAAAAAAGAGUCCCAGAAAAUAUGUCCCUGCUUGUGCGGGGAAUAAAUAGAAUAUUCUGAGGUGCAUUCCUCCUUCCUAUGUUAGGCAACAUUCCUUGACCCUCCUCGGCCCCCAAGCCAGGUUGCGUUUUUUUCUGCCAUUUAGAAGGGUUUUCCUUUUUGUCCUAGUAAAACAUCAGCCCCUGUAGCUCUUCAUCUCCCCCUGGUGUUCUUCUCCCGCCAUGUCUUAAGAUUGGUGGCACCGACCAAUCUUAAGAUUUAAGUUCUGUGUGAAAAACACCUUUGCUUUUCAAUCAGUUUAUCAGCCUCCUCCGCAGGGGAAGUGUGGACACACAAAAGAACUUAUCGGGGCUUCUCAUCAGUGAUAGGGAAAAGACUGGGCAUGUGCCUAAACGAGCUCUGAUGUUAUUUUUAAGCUCCCUUUCUUGCCAAUCCCUCACGGAUCUUUCUCCGAUAGAUGCAAAGAACUUCAGCAAAAAAGACCCGCAGGAAGGGGCUUGAAGAGAAAAGUACGUUGAUCUGCCAAAAUAGUCUGACCCCCAGUAGUGGGGCAGUGACGAGGGAGAGCAUUCCCUUGUUUGACUGAGACUAGAAUCGGAGAGACAUAAAAGGAAAAUGAAGCGAGCAACAAUUAAAAAAAAUUCCCCGCACACAACAAUACAAUCUAUUUAAACUGUGGCUCAUACUUUUCAUACCAAUGGUAUGACUUUUUUUCUGGAGUCCCCUCUUCUGAUUCUUGAACUCCGGGGCUGGCAGCUUGCAAAGGGGAAGCGGACUCCAGCACUGCACGGGCAGGUUUAGCAAAGGUCUCUAAUGGGU
rnacentral:lncRNA from 1 species